rnacentral:rRNA from 1 species
UACGAACUGUGCGAACGUUAUUCGGAAUCACUGGGCUUAAAGGGUGCGUAGGUGGCGCCGUAAGUCAGGUGUGAAAUUUCGGAGCUUAACUCCGAAACUGCAUUUGAUACUGCGGUGCUUGAGGACUGGAGAGGAGACUGGAAUUUACGGUGUAGCAGUGAAAUGCGUAGAGAUCGUAAGGAAGACCAGUGGCGAAGGCGGGUCUCUGGACAGUUCCUGACACUGAGGCACGAAGGCCAGGGGAGCAAACGGG